rnacentral:lncRNA from 1 species
AGACGUCUCCCGAAGAUCUCGAGUCGACUCUCAAGUCAGUCGAGUCGACUCCAAGUAAACCCGAGUCGACUCGAGGAAGAAAAAACAAUAAGAAAAUUCAAAAGCUUCCUAAAGACAAAGAAGAAGAGGAAGCAAGAAGAAAGAAAGAAAGAGAUAAAAAGGAAGAAAGUCUUGACCAAGGAAGAGUCAAGCAAGAAAAUGAAAGCUAGGAGCAACAAUGAUGAUAUUAGCUCCAAAGAACUACAAGAGGUAACUAACUUGUGCUUUAUGGCACAAGAAGAUAAGGUAAAAUCUGAAUCUACU